rnacentral:tRNA from 1 species
AAGAAUUUAAGUUAUUUAAACUUUUAACCUUCAAAGUUAAAAAUAGAUAUUUAUUUCUAAUUCUUA